rnacentral:lncRNA from 1 species
UAGGUACACAGGGCGAUCCAGAGGUUCCGCACCACUCAACACUAGGCAUCAUUCCUGUAUCUUUUGAAAAAUCAAGAUAGAGACCUGAAAUUAUGUGAGUGCUCCAAGGUCAAACAAAACGACUUAUGAGCGCCCUCAAAAUUAUAAAGGGACCCCCUGAAAAAGCCGAUAACCUGUAUGGUUACAGGGGUGAGACUUUUGGAUCCCCAUGUAGAAAAAGAAUGCAAAAACAAAACGCUAAACAUCAUACAUAUAAAAAAGGUCGAAAAUAGUAAAUGCGUUCAGAUAAGAUUUUUAACAUUUCUCUCUGGGCAAAGAUGGCUGCAUGUGACAAAAAAAAAAAAAAAAAAAAAAAAAAAAAAAAACGCGAACGUGGAACCUUUGGAAAUGCGCUACAGACUGGUCGCUUUGCGUCUCAAUGAGUAAAUCUCAGACUUUCUUGAGGUAACUAUCCUGCUUUUUGAGCGGUAUGUUACCUUCUUGAGGGUAUUUUGUUCUCUGCAUCACUCGUAAGCAACUAGAACUGUUAUAUUUCGAGAUAAUUUUGGAUGAUUUACUACACCAACACUGUUCUAACGCUGACCUUUGUUGAGCUAUUUGAUAGUCAUUGUGUUUAUUUGACGAUUUUGACCUGUAUUCUGAUUUUGCAGCAAAGCGUUGUCUUGCCCGACUUAACUCCAGAUGGCGCUCGUGUUACAUUUCACUCAUUUACAAGUGAACCGGUGGAUGAAUUCGACCCCGCUGCCCUCUACAAGAUGCUCUGCAUGAUAGGUGACGUUCGCAUGGUCGAGGAACCUAUGAUCUCCGGAGACAUCUUCGUCUUCGACGUCGGCCACAUGACGCUCACACAUGUUGCCAAGCUCGCCACCACCCUUGCUCAAAAAGAUACUCCUCACUACACAGAAUGCGUUCCCACAACGGUUGCGGGAGAUCCACUUGAUUAACGCUCCUAGCCAUGUAGACAAAGUUGUCACCAUGUUCAAAUUCUUCAUGAAGCCAAAAUGAAAAAUAGGGUAAGCCACAAAAUAUCGAGUAUUUUCAUAAUUGUGUUUACAGCAGACUCAAUGUAAAGAAACUUACUGGGAAACGAAAUUAAUCGCUGAUUGGUAUUUUCAAACUCACUGGUACUUUAAAAAACUAUAUAUAUAUAUAUAUAUAUAUCGCUUUUAGGUAGUUACCAUAUGUCACAACCAAAAUUUUGAAAUGCUUUGCUUCUAUUAAGGUAAGAAUCUAAAUGUUUGUAGAGACACUCAUCCUUCAUAUUUUUUGUAAAAAUAUUAAUAUGGCCUGAGAUGCUGAAUGUCUGAAAAAAUGAACUAGCUAACUGUCUCCAACCCACCGCCGGUGAGUUAAAGAUGGUAACUGUCUUUGAACUCAAUUUCAUUUCCCUCCAUCAAGGCAGAAAACAUUGAUGAAAAGUAGUUUUAUCAAAUUAACUCUUCUAGAUGCUUCUUUCCCUAACCUUUUUUUUUGUGUGACAUAUUUAUUUUAUGAUUAACUUAAUCACGCAUCACAUACUCGCACAUUACAUUAGUUUCAGAUACAGUUCUAUUUGUAGGUAUUGAUUUUCAAUACACUAACUCUCACGCAGUGAGAGCAUGUAUCCUCAGUGCUUACUACUUGCCUCACUCCAUUUUACAAUUUAUAUUUUGCAGUGGCACAUUCACACUGGAAUUAAAUCGUUAGCCGAUUUCAUACCUAGAGAAAUGUUACCUUCCGAUUACGGUGGUGAGAGCAAAUCAUCAGACGCAUUCCAGAGUAAGUAUGCGACACUGCUACAAUCACCACAGGCUUUGCUUUAUGAAAGAAGUACGCACGCACAGUCUUGCACAUGCCUUUUCUCAAAAUACAUUUCAAUAAUUUUCCCACCCAAAUGCGAUAAUGAAUCUCUCCUGUUUCUAUUUCGUCUUUAACAAAACAUUUGGGUCUAUGGCUAAUUCAAUCAAGUUUUUUUAUUAUUAUUAUUAUUAUUAUUAUUAUUAUUUCUUUUUCUUUUUUUCCUAAUAAUUAUUGUGAGCUUCCAGAAUACCCAAACUUGUUCGCAUUGUUUAAGAUAAUAGACUAGCGGGUCUUUGGGGGUGACCAGAUCCCACGGUUUGGUCAAUCGUGUUUACUAAUUCAAAAAUUCAAAAUAUUUUCAUUAAGAGGAAAAAUAGUUGAAUCAAAAAAAAAAUUCAAAAUUUCCUUUAAUUAUUCAUUAUAUCGACUGGAAAAUUUUAGGAGAAACAUUCUCAUUUUGUAUAGGACGAUUAUUUCUCCAAAUAGGCAGUAAAAAAAUGGGAAGAAAUUAAGUGGGACAGCUUUCGCAUCUUCAUUAAAAUAUCACGUGAAGUAUGGCGGGCAUGUCAGAAAUGUCACCUUUGAAAUGAGAAAUCAGCAAUCUCUGUGUCCGUUUUCCCGCUUGCCCAAAAACUAAAGUCUACUUCUUUUGAAUCAGCAAUUGGACCAAUUUCAGUAUUCUUCUCGGUAAAAUAAUGCCUCAGUAUGCUAGAUUUUUAAAAAUAUUAUGCAUACACAAAGGGAAGAUCCCUGUAAAAUCAAAGAUUAGUUAUGUGUGGAAUGACGUGAUUUGUUUCUGAUGAUUGUCCCGGCGUAUGUUGGGGGGGGCGUAUGUUCAGGGUUAUUCGCGAGCGGUAAAAGUGAAUUCUCUGAGUUUAAUCGGAACAUAAACACUUAUAUCAUAUUCAUAUUCAGUUAAAAUUUGGCUUCCUCGCCGUGUUCUGCAUAAAAUUUGAUGAGGAGGCAUAGAUUACCAGAAUUUGAAGGAGAUUGAAUUCCGGCACAUUCUUUCAAAACGUUUUUGAAGCGGGUUGAUAUGCAUGCCAACGCCCCUCUUCUGUUGAAAUAUGCUCACAUUAAGUUUAAUUAACAAAUAUAUAUGUACGUCAAUGGAGAUUCCAUAAUGACUGCAAGUUGCAGCUCACAGUUGUUAAUUUCUCGAUACGACUGCCCUGACGCAUGAAAGUCCAUGUUUUUUUACUUGAAAAAACAAUGGCAAAGUUUGAGGACAACAUCUUUGAAUUAAAAAUAAUUUCGUUCCUGGAAAACAGAAAUAAAUUAUUCUGCGUCCACUACGGCGUAAUUUUUUAUAAGUAUUAUUCGUAAAUUUACGGCAAUUUAAAAAAGAAUAACGGGAAUAUAAAGAACGGGUUUUAAUGCUUAGCGCACCACGACAAAAUGUGUAUAAUUUUUGAGCUUUGUUAUUCGUCGCUUAUUUUUUAACAUUUCAUUUCGAGUACAUUACACAUAAUAACGAUAUCAUUCGAAAAACGCGUAACUCCAUCGCAGCGUCACAAAACGCUCGAUUUUAUUGAAUGUUUUUCGAGGAAAACAGUAGCCAAAAUACCUGCUUGCAAAUUUCUGCUAAUAUUUUAGAGAGACUGGAAAAAAUAUCAGACAUUUCAAGUUGGGCAGUUUUUCUAUGAGUAAAGAUUUGGAAUGUUCUGAUCAGAGACGUGCACUUUUUGACGUGCAUUGAGGUGCCGAUGACUGCAAAAUUAAGUAUGAAAAAUAUCAUUUUCAUCAUCAGAAAAUAUCAUUGUAUUCAAGAUACAUGAGAGUCAUGAGACUUGUUGAAAGUCAUCUCUUUUUCAGCUCCCUUCUAAAGGAAAUAAACAUUGCAACACGUUCAACUGUUUUUAUUAAUGUUCUUUAAUGUGAAAAUUUUUCAGAGGAGUGGCUGAAGAAACUUAAUGCUUAUAAGACCUAUUUUGAAGGACAGGAGAAUGUCAUGGUUGACGAAAAUAAACGGCAAGACAAAAGCAGCGAAACUGCAAGAUUCAACGAAAACAACAUUUUUGGUCAGGAAGGCGCGUUCCGGAGACUGAACAUUGACUGAUCUCUAUAUUUACCUUUUACUCCGCUCAAACUAAUCACUUGAGUUUCGUCCAUUCUUCAUAAUGUAAAAAUCAACUUGCAGCGCCUGAAGUUUACAUCGAAAGUGUCAUUUUACUUGUGAUUCUUUUCAUUUCUUCUUGUUUCGUCAAUGCGAGAAAUUGCUCCGGAAGGAGAUACACACUGAGAGACAAAAAUUAUGAAUUAACCUCAUUGAAAUAAUUGAAUGUCAAGUUUGAAAUGUUGAUGGAUGCUGAUAGUCUUGCCAAAUUUGUUUGCUUUACAGCAAAUGAUUCGAACAAACCGGGGGUAUUCUCUCGAUUUGGUAAUGCUCAGUCUUGUCAUUUGUGCAAUGUAUUUUAGCUGUCGUUCUUUUGUCUGCUUAAAUAGGCAGAACUGAUUUGUCAAACAAAUCAAACAGACAUCUUAAUGCUAUGGGAACUUUGUGAAAAUGAAUUCAAUAAUUAGGAACUCUGUUUAGAUGUGUAGGUUUUGCGUGCUACAUUAUAGUUCCUUUUGAUUCCUUUUCAUUUAGUCCCUUUUAGCGUAAAUACUUCUGAACGGACUCUGACUCGCCUUAAAUUGAGGCUGCAUAUAAAGAAGCAGAAAAAACAGAAAAAAAUCGACAAAUGCAUCAACUUUUUUUCUUGUAACAACUGAAUUUAAAAAUAAGGUAAUGAUUCUAGUUUAAAUUUAAGUUUUGACUUUGUAAGUUUUUGUAUAGACUUUUUUAUCGUAUUUAAUUUUAUUACUGAAAUAAAAAUAUUAAAGCUCAACGAUUUUUGCUGUUCAUUUUUGCUUGCUGAGCUGAAAUAAUGUGAUCUAUCGACGAUAUUAAACAGGGAAAAUACUUCUAUGUUAUAGUUUGUCUUUUCGUACUUGUUAAAAAAAUAUAUAUAUAAAUAUAGUCAUGUCUCCUGUAGGUGCUAAUGUGCGUGCCACGCCGACCGCAUUGUGUUUGACGCAAUGCGUGAAGUAUUCGUACAGACUUGUAGGCGCUAAUAUGCGUGCCAAGCCGACCAAGCCAACCGUACCGUGAUCGGCGCAAUGCGUGAAGUAUUCUCGCGGUCUUGUAGGCGUUAGUAUAAGUUACAGUUGCACGCCGACCGCACCGUGUUAGGCGCCUUUAUUCAAACGGGCGGAGUUGAGCAGUUUUCAUUUUGCUUGGUUGUUUGUAUGCUGAUGUACAAAGGCCAAAGCCCUAUCAUAAGGCGAAAAAUCAAAACUAAUAAAAUAAAAAGAACUUGUUUCUAGGAUGGAGUUUCUGAGCACACUGAAUGCAUUAUUGUCAUUUAAAACGUGCUACAUAAAUUCCGACUAAUCCUCCUCUCUCGGUUCACACAUGUAUCGAUAGCCUUUAAUAGAGAGAAUUAAAAGUGCAUUGCCUCACUGGGCGAUUUUCCGGCCGUUGUAGUCGACAGCCUAAGUCCAUCGCGAAGGCCGAUAUGUCACUGUAUGCGAUGUUGUCAUAAACAAUACGUAAAUACGUUGGUUAAAUCGGAGUUCAGCCGGGACCGGUCA